AUUUGAUAUUAAUUAAUAUUAUAAUUAUUGAAUAUUAUUAAUUCUAAAAAAAUAUUCUAAUAACAACGGUAUAUAAAUUGAUUUACAAAUUUAAGUUAGGUACAACGUGUAUUAUCGAUUAAAAAACAAAUUCCUCUAAAUANACUAAUAUACCGCCAAAUUUUUUAAGUUUCAANAACAUAUCUAUUACUACUCAAAUUUAAUGAUUUACAUUUUAAAUAAUAGGGUAUCUAAUCCUAGUUU
rnacentral:rRNA from 1 species